rnacentral:misc_RNA from 1 species
GCAGACGAUUGUAGCGCGAGCUCUAUACACGUCCACGGUUGUAGCUGUUGAAAAUAAGGAAAACAUGAAAUCCAUAAUAACUGUGACAGCUGGAAAGAAUAUCAGCUGUGAGGUAUUGAACGUUUUCUUAACAGAGCAUACAACAGCGUGCCCAGUCAAGAUGAAGCUUUUCUGGCCUGGUUCAAUACAGACUGUAUGCAUCGUGAUAUUGUGAGGACGAGUACGGGUCACUCAGAACAAGAUUUCUUGGAAGGAUUCAUUUUCGAAGGAACCGAAGAUGAAAAGUAUGCGCACAGGCUCAGCACCGACACAAUUCUCCGUUUUCUCACUACAGUUUUUGUGACCAACAGAGAACAGAUCGCCAUCAGGCAGCAAGACAGUUCCUGACAAUACGUAGCAGGAAGAGGCUACAGCAACAACACCUGCAGUUUUCCAGCAUGCAGAACACAUCUCUUUAAGAAAAUGCUUUGUUUUAAUAAUGGAAACAAAGAGUAUUACCCACCUGCUGACAUUACUGUCUACUUUUCACAUCAUUACAGGUUUAACAUUCAUUCUCGAACCAGCUGAUGGAAUAGCAGCUAUACGAAGACCUUAUUUCCUUCACUGCAGAGCUGAAGAUACUUCUGAAAUAACUUAUUUGUGGCAGUAUGACAAUAAAGACAUCAUAUCAGAUCCCAAUGCAGCAAUCAUUACUGAUAAGACUGUCUACCCUAAUGGAACUCUUCAUAUCAGAAGUGUGAAAGAGGAGGACAUGGGGUGUAUACAUGCAUGGCAACUUCAAGUGGCAAGACAAUCAAGAGCAGGCAGGCCAUCCUGAGACAAGCAUACAUUGCUCCUACCUUUAGCAUGAACCCUCAAGAUGCAGCAGUUCAGCUUCACUCUGAAAUCAUUCUACACUGCAGGAUAGACAGUUUACCUCCAGCAUUUAUUAUGUGGCGACUGAAUGGCCUUGAUGUUGUCCCUGAAGUGUUUUUUGUUGGCACAACACACUAUGGGGAAACUUUGCACAUCAGCAGUGCUGGAUAUAGUGAUGCUGGGGAAUAUGUAUGUGUUGGUGUCAACACUCUUCUUGGAGUAAUACGUUACAGCACCCCUGGAGAGCUUCAGGUAGUAGGUAAACCUCAAAUAACCAGAGCACCACAGAAUUUGACAAGUUCUAUAGGAAGCACAGUUGUUUUUCAACUGUGCAGCCUUAGCAAGUCCAGAACCACAUUUACUUUGGCUCAAGAGUUUGGAGACAGGGAAUUCUGUACAACUGCAGAACUCCAGCAAUGUCACUAGCUUCUCAAAUGGAACACUUGUGGUGAGGAACAUCAAAGAAACAGAUGGGGGACUAUAUACAUGUAUGGCCAACAAUGAUUAUGGCAGUGACAGAGUCUUCGCCUAUCUGGAAAUUACAGUUGCUCCAAUAAUUUUUAAGGCACCAAAGAAUCAGACAGUGACUGCUGGAGAAAACAUUAACUUUACCUGUGAAGCUCAAGGCAACCCCACACCUCAUGUUGUAUGGCUGAAGAAUGGUGUGAGAAUUAAGACAGAGCUAACAGCUUUGGGAGUUUUGAUGCUGGAGAAGGUGACACUCAGUGAUGCAGGGGUGUACACUUGCCUAGCUGAGAGUCCAGAAGGACAGAUAUCUUCCUCAGUCUCUCUUAAUGUUCUGUUUGCCCCAGAAAUCGACUCCCACCCAGCAGAUGAGAUUGUUCUAAUAGGCUCAUCAUUCAGUCUUUCAUGUAAAGUAACUGGAAAUCCUGUGCCUUCCAUGCAGUGGAUUUUGCCAAACUCAGUGAUUCUUCAAAAAAUGAGCUUUUUUGAAAAUGCUACUGUUGAUCAAACUGGAACAUUACUGGUAACUGCAGUGACGCCAGAGUAUCAAGGUCACUACACUUGUUAUGCAUGGAAUUCCUUAGGCUAUUCAACGGCUAUUGCAUUCAUCACAGUUGAAGGUCCACCUUAUUUUAAAGUACAACCUGCCAGUCAAACUGUACUGCUGGGGAAUACAGCUAACCUGUCCUGCCAAGCUGGCAGUUACCCCAUCCCUACAGUGAGCUGGUUCCAUGGCGAUCAAGUCCUUCUGCCAGGUUCACAGAUUGUUAUCUCCUCAUUAGGAGAUCUGACAAUUCAUGAAGCAAGGUUAGAGGAUGGUGGACAAUACACAUGUGUGGCUGAAAAUUUCUAUGGUAGUCUCAACACCAGUGCUAUUCUGUCCAUACAUGUCCUUCCAGUUUUUGUGGUGGCACCCUCCUCUAUGGCAGUAACCUUUGGUCAGACAGUGACUUUAAAAUGUGAGGUGACUGGUGUUCCAACACCAACUCAAAAGUGGAUCAGAAGCGGAAGAACAUUACUUCUUGGGAAUAAUAUGAUCAUAAGACCUGACAACACCUUGGUCAUUGCAAACAUUACUCACAAAGACCUUGGACAGUAUACGUGCCUCGCUCGAAAUGAAGCUGGAGAGAAAAGUGCAACUGCUAGUAUCUACCUGCCAGGAUGGCCAUUUUUUGUGGCCAGUGAAAGAAACAUUACAGUAAACAUCUCAGAGCCACUUAACAUCUCCUGCCAUGCCCAACAGUCUGGAGAUGGAGAGGGUGUCAUCCAUGCUGUCCGUUGGUACCGAGGAUGCUGCAAUGCUGGCAAUGACACUCUGAUUCCUUGUACUGAAGGCAGUCUGAACAAUGAGACAGAUUCAAUCCAUAUCUGGUCAACGAAUCAUGGGGACCUUUACUUUCAGCAAGUGCUGGAAGCAGAUGAGGGCUGGUACUACUGUGCUGCUGACAAUGAAGGGGAUGCUGUAUACUCGGAUCCUGUCUAUAUAAAUGUUCAAGUUUCACCCAGAAUUACAAAUGUUACCAAUGUAACUCCAGGAAAUAACCAGACAUCACUGCAGAUAAUGUGUCUGGCUGUAGGAGAUCCUGAUCCUCUGGUGAUAUGGAGAUCACCCAUAGGUCAAGAGAGAGGUGACAGGACAGAUUUGGCAGAUGGAGUUCAAUCAGUUGUGAAGGUUACAAAUGUUAGUGAUAGUGGUCAGUGGAUCUGCAAAGCCUGUAAUAUCCUCGGCUGUGCCUUUGCUACAAUAACAUUGGAUGUAGAAGUGAAUCCUCUGAUGGGCACGUCACAAUUACCUGCCAGGUUGCUGGCUUUCCCUCCCCAGACAUAUACUACUACAUCUCCAAUGGUACUGAUGUCACUACGUUGCCUAGUCAUACUGUUGAGGCAGGGCACUUGAUGGUUAUGGCUAGUGCCCUGCAGGAAGCAUACACCUGUACAGCUAAAAACAUUCAUGGUGCUUCAUCACUACUUCUUACAAAACCUCUCACACAUCCAUGGAUAAUCCAUACAGUUUCAUCAGCAACAGAAAUAAGCUUGACUUUCAACAUAUCAGGAUCACUAGGCGCUCUUCCUCUGAAGGCCUUGUUGAUAGCCUACAAGCCCGUCUUGAA